GGUGAAAUUGUAAUUCCGGUGAAGAUGCCGGAUACCUGCGACAGGACGGAAAGACCCCAUGGAGCUUUACUGUAGCUUGACAUUGGGUUUUGGUACUACAUGUACAGGAUAGGUGGGAGGCUUUGAAGCCAGGACGCCAGUUUUGGCGGAGCCAUCCUUGGGAUACCACCCUUGUAGUACUGGGACUCUAACCAUAGGCCAUGAAUCUGGUCUUGG
rnacentral:rRNA from 1 species